UACGUAGGGUGCGAGCGUUAAUCGGAAUUACUGGGCGUAAAGCGUGCGCAGGCGGUUCGUUGUGUCGGCGGUGAAAGCCCCGGGCUUAACCUGGGAAUGGCCGUUGAAACUGGCGAACUGGAGUGUGGCAGAGGGGGUGGAAUGCCGCGUGGUAGCAGUGAAAUGCGUAGAGAUGCGGCGGAACACCGAUGGCGAAGGCAGCCCCUGGCUGAGAUUGACGCUCGAGGCACGAAGCGUGGAGCAACAGG
rnacentral:rRNA from 1 species